rnacentral:rRNA from 1 species
GAUGAACGCUGGCGGCGUGCCUAAUACAUGCAAGUCGAGCGAACAGACGAGGAGCUUGCUCCUCUGACGUUAGCGGUGGACGGGUGAGUAACACGUGGAUAACCUACCUAUAAGACUGGGAUAACUUCGGGAAACCGGAGCUAAUACCGGAUAACAUGUUGAACCGCAUGGUUCAACAGUGAAAGACGGUCUUGCUGUCACUUAUAGAUGGAUCCGCGCCGCAUUAGCUAGUUGGUAAGGUAACGGCUUACCAAGGCAACGAUGCGUAGCCGACCUGAGAGGGUGAUCGGCCACACUGGAACUGAGACACGGUCCAGACUCCUACGGGAGGCAGCAGUAGGGAAUCUUCCGCAAUGGGCGAAAGCCUGACGGAGCAACGCCGCGUGAGUGAAGAAGGUCUUCGGAUCGUAAAACUCUGUUAUUAGGGAAGAACAAAUGUGUAAGUAACUAUGCACGUCUUGACGGUACCUAAUCAGAAAGCCACGGCUAACUACGUG